AACUGAAUAGUCUCAGUGUUCUGAUUUUGUAAUAAUUAGGGCAGGCUAAAUAUUCACUAUAAGAAGACCAUGCUGUGUCCCAGACGUGUAUAGUUCUUGUACCUACCUAGGUCUGGUAUUAGAAAAACAGGUAUAAAU